UACGGAGGAGGCAAGCGUUAUCCGGAAUUAUUGGGCGUAAAGCGUGCGCAGGCGGUUGUGUAAGACAGGGUGUGAAAUCCCCGGGCUUAACCUGGGAACUGCACUUGUGACUGCACGGCUGGAGUGCGGCAGAGGGGGAUGGAAUUCCGCGUGUAGCAGUGAAAUGCGUAGAUAUGCGGAGGAACACCGAUGGCGAAGGCAAUCCCCUGGGCCUGCACUGACGCUCAUGCACGAAAGCGUGGGGAGCAAACAGG
rnacentral:rRNA from 1 species